UACGAAGGGUGCAAGCGUUACUCGGAAUCACUGGGCGUAAAGCGUGCGUAGGCGGUUCGUUAAGUCUGCUGUGAAAGCCCUGGGCUCAACCUGGGAACUGCAGUGGAUACUGGCGGACUAGAGUGUGAUAGAGGAUGGUGGAAUUCCCGGUGUAGCGGUGAAAUGCGUAGAUAUCGGAAGGAACACCAGUGGCGAAAGCGGCUUCCUGGUCCGACACCGACGUCAGGCACGAAAGCGUGGGGGAGCAAACAGG
rnacentral:rRNA from 1 species